rnacentral:rRNA from 1 species
GACGAACGCUGGCGGCGUGCCUAAUACAUGCAAGUAGAACGCUGAAGGAGGAGCUUGCUUCUCUGGAUGAGUUGCGAACGGGUGAGUAACGCGUAGGUAACCUGCCUGGUAGCGGGGGAUAACUAUUGGAAACGAUAGCUAAUACCGCAUAAUAUUGACUAUUGCAUGAUAGUCAGUUGAAAGGUGCAACUGCACCACUACCAGAUGGACCUGCGUUGUAUUAGCUAGUUGGUGGGGUAACGGCUCAACAAGGCGACGAUACAUAGCCGACCUGAGAGGGGGAUCGGCCACACUGGGAAGGAGACACGGCCCAGACUCCUACGGGAGGCAGCAGUAGGGAAUCUUCGGCAAUGGACGGAAGUCUGACCGGGCAACGCCGCGGGAGUGAAGAAGGGUUUCGGAUCGUAAAGAUCUGUUGUAAGAGAAGAACGAGUGUGAGAGUGGAAAGCUCACACUGUGACGGUAUCUUACCAGAAAGGGACGGCUAACUACGUG